rnacentral:rRNA from 1 species
AGUAACGCGUGGGUAACCUGCCCUGUACAGGGGGAUAACAGUCAGAAAUGACUGCUAAUACCGCAUAAGACCACAGCACCACAUGGUGCAGGGGUAAAAACUCCGGUGGUACAGGAUGGACCCGCGUCUGAUUAGCUGGUUGGUGAGGUAACGGCUCACCAAGGCGACGAUCAGUAGCCGGCUUGAGAGAGUGAACGGCCACAUUGGGACUGAGACACGGCCCAAACUCCUACGGGAGGCAGCAUG